GCGCCACGGGACUGGGCGCGCGUGUGGGCUCGCCUCCCGGCUGCCGCGCCGACUGCGGGCGAGAAGAGUACAGCUUCCACCAGGUGUAGGAUAUAAACUUUGGAGAGGUGAUCAAUAUUUCACUUCUUGCAUUUAGACAAAUGAUGUGUAGGUGAACUGCAGAUGACUAACAUACUUAAGGGUAAGCAUCACUGACAGUAACUUCACAGCAUGAGGCCCCAGCAGCUGAUCUAGAGGUGAAUCCUAGAAGCAGAAGAAUUCUCUGGCACUGGUGCAGGACAGAGGCUCCUUCCCUUGGGGGGGGGCUUUGUGGGAACACA